AGUGAACGCUGGCGGUAGGCCUAACACAUGCAAGUCGAACGGCAGCACAGUAAGAGCUUGCUCUUACGGGUGGCGAGUGGCGGACGGGUGAGGAAUACAUCGGAAUCUACUUUUUCGUGGGGGAUAACGUAGGGAAACUUACGCUAAUACCGCAUACGACCUACGGGUGAAAGCAGGGGAUCUUCGGACCUUGCGCGAUUGAAUGAGCCGAUGUCGGAUUAGCUAGUUGGCGGGGUAAAGGCCCACCAAGGCGACGAUCCGUAGCUGGUCUGAGAGGAUGAUCGGCCAAACGGGAAUGAGGCACCGGUCCAAACCCCUACGGGAGGCAGCAUGGGGGAAAUUUGGACAAGGGGGGCAAGCCUGACCCAGCCAACCCGGGGGGGUGAAGAAGGCCUUGGGGUUUUAAAGCCCUUUUGUUGGGAAAAAAAAGCAGCAGGUUAAACCCCCGCUGUUCUGACGGUACCCAAAGAAGAAGCACCGGCUAACUUCGU
rnacentral:rRNA from 1 species